AACAGUUUCCCCUGCAAACUUCCAUCUUCGUUUAAUACUGUGCAAAAGCACGUUCCAGUUUCUAGAAGCAUCCUCGAAGGAAAUGUAAUGGCGUCAACGUCCCUUAUUAAGCCACCAUAUCUAAUUUCAUGACUUACAUUGCCAUCUGAAUUUCCUACAUUGCCAACUAAGCGUCCUGCACUAUCGACAAGGUAUUCCAUCGCGAGUAGAUAAUCCUGCCUUAUCAACCAAGCGUUCUACACUAUCGACCUCUACCGAUAAUGUACUCCAUCGCGAGUAGACAAUAGAGUACAACGACAACUUCGCGUUCUUGUUUUCUUCGCACGAAAAAAUUCACACACGCAUUUAAACGAUGCAAUUUCAAGAGGAUAGAGACCAAUUCCAACAAGCGCCAUAAUUUAUGGAAAAACACAAGAGCAAAGAUCCUAAAGUUCAUCAAAAAUUACGUUUGAAAGCAUGAAAUUCGUUGACUGCUACGAUGUAAAAGCGAAUAGAGCGGAAGCUGGAGAAGAAAGUAUGAAAAACAGACGGAGGCUAGACCAGGGUCGUCAAUCAUGAAAAAUCGCGUGUCGAACGCCUCACAGCAGUUCGUUGAGCUCUUCUCGCGAGUGGUCUGCUGGCUAUGGGAAACUCUCGACAAGUUAUUGGACAUCUUUCUCGAUUUCCUGGCGAGGCUAAUCGAGCUGACACUAGCGGUGAUGAACCUGAUUUUCCAGGUGAUCUGCUUCCUACGAGAUAUCUGCAUCGACUCGAUGCAAACCUUCGCUAACAUCUUCCGUGGUAUCGUUAACGUCAUUGCUAACAUCACCUGCGACGAAGUCGAGGAUUUCGCCUCUGCUUGCAUCGUCGUCCUCCUCUGGAUUGGGGCCUUCAGGAUCGCCAGGAAUCUGUUCAACCGAGUAGGAAUCUCCUGUGACUGUAUCUACGCGGUGUCCUAGGAUUUUCUGCGCGAACUAUGCUGGCAGCGAUCAGCAAUUCCGGGACUACGGUGCUAAAAUAUGUGAGUUCUAGAGUCAACGUGUUCCGUCUCUUCGGUCAGCAACACGCGGCGAAUAUAAACAAUAACAAUAAGCUAGCAGCUGCGCAACUCGGAUGUGUUUGUCCCACGAGGAAAAGGACAGGGAGAAGGAAUAACCGGCGAAAUGGGAGACGACCUCAGGCCAAACUCGCGGAUGAAGAAUUGAGCGGCUAAAAUGAAAUAGAAGGCGACAAUAUUCGGCAGAAGACAUCUAGAAAACGAAAAUCGAAGGAAGACAGCAUAUCUUAUAAAUAUUAUACCUUAUACUUUAUUCUAUUACACAUUCUUUUUAUAAAAAAAAUUGGUAAAAUACUCUGACGAAAAUAACGCCAAAAUUUUACGUUCGCCUAUUUACAGAAAUAUUCAUUCGUUGUAACAAUGUGUAAACUCGUAUAUCAAAUACAAUUACACCUUUCAACUUGCGUUCUAUUAUGUACAAUUAAAUAUAAAAUGUUAACAGGCAUCAAUCUGUAAAAGAGAGGCGUGGAAAUCUUUGCUAUCCAAAAUAGAGAAUAUAUUUUUUAGGUAAAUCGAAAUAUGUUAAAUAUAAUCGGCCUCCUCUUUUACACGUUGAUAUGCGAAGUCUUAUAGUUCUGUCGUUUGCGCAACAAUCGUGUUUCAGCAUUCCAGUUAUAAAUAAGUUCUUUGAAACCCACUGUUUAAUAAGAUAAUACUUUGUUCAUGUUAAUUUGUAUCCUAACUCGC